rnacentral:snRNA from 14 species
AUACUUAUAACAUGGACGGAGUCAAUGGGCGAUCAAGAAGGCUCAAUAUGACCUAGACUAGUAACCUCCAUUGCACUUAGGAGGGUUGUCAGUCUAAAGUCGACUGACGUGGUCUAGCCGACAUCAUAAUUUAGUGGCAACGGAGCCACGCUGAUGCAGGCCCCUA